AGCUGCAGAAGAAGACACCGGCUAACUACCGUGCCAGCAGCCGCGGUAAUACGGAGGGUGCGAGCGUUAAUCGGAAUUACUGGGCGUAAAGACGCAUGCAGGUGGUUUGGUUUAAGUCAGAUGUGAAAGACCCGGGGCGUCAACCUCGGAAUAGCAUUUGAAACUAGGCAGACUAGAGUACUGUAGAGGGGGGUAGGAAGUUUCAGGUGUAGCGGUGAAAUGCGUAGAGAUCUGAAGGAAUACCGGUGGCGAAGGCGGCCCCCUCGGACAGAUACUGACACUCAGAUGCGAAAGCGUGGGGAGCAAACAGGAUUAGAUACCCCUGGUAG
rnacentral:rRNA from 1 species